GACGAACGCUGGCGGCGUGCUUAACACAUGCAAGUCGAGCGAUGAAAGCCUUAUGAACUAUUCGUAGUGAUUGGGGCCGGAUUAGCGGCGGACGGGUGAGUAACGCGUGAGCAACCUGCCUUAAACAACGGGAUAGCCUCGGGAAACCGGGAUUAAUACCGUAUGAGACCCCGCCUUCACAUGAAGAAGAGGUUAAAGAUUUAUCGGUUUAAGAUGGGCUCGCGUCUGAUUAGCUAGUUGGUGAGAUAAAAGCCCACCAAGGCAACGAUCAGUAACCGGCUUGAGAGAGGGAACGGUCACAUUGGAACUGAGACACGGUCCAAACUCCUACGGGAGGCAGCAGUGGGGAAUAUUGCACAAUGGGGGAAACCCUGAUGCAGCGACGCCGCGUGAGCGAUGAAGGAAUUCGUUUCGUAAAGCUCUGUCCAAGGGGAAGAUAAUGACAGUACCCUUGGAGGAAGCCCCGGCUAAAUACGUGCCAGCCGCCGCGGUAA
rnacentral:rRNA from 1 species